rnacentral:rRNA from 1 species
GAUGAACGCUGGCGGCGCGCCUAACACAUGCAAGUCGAACGAUUAAAGCACCUUCGGGUGUGUAUAAAGUGGCGAACGGCUGAGUAACACGUGGGCAACCUGCCCCUCUCAUUGGGAUAGCCACGGGAAACCGUGGAUAAUACCGAAUACUUCGGGACUUCCGCAUGGAAGACUCGAGAAAGCUCCGGAGGAGAGGGAUGGGCCCGCGGCCUGUUAGCUUGUUGGUGGGGUAAUGGCCUACCAAGGCAAUGAUGGGUAGCUGGGUUGAGAGACCGACCAGCCAGAUUGGGACUGAGACACGGCCCAGACUCCUACGGGAGGCAGCAGUGGGGAAUCUUGCACAAUGGGCGAAAGCCUGAUGCAGCGACGCCGCGUGCGGGAUGAAGGCCUUCGGGUUGUAAACCGCUUUCAGCAGGGACGAGGCGAAAGUGACGGUACCUGCAGAAGAAGCCCCGGCUAACUACGU